GAUUGGGUCAAUUUAGAUUGGAUCCUUAUCCAACUUAAAACAAUUUUAAGUGGAGAAAUACUUCUCUGCACCCACCAAAAGUCACACAAAAAAUAAAUACCACCCCAUCUGAAAUUAGCAUGUGAAAUGGAGAGUCCUUCUUAAAGAAGGCUCUUAAUUAUAUGCUUUGCCUUAAAAGAUAAACCAAAUAUCCUAUGAUUUAAUGCCAAAAUUGAUUGGGUAUUUUAUGGCACAU
rnacentral:lncRNA from 1 species